AUAUGAACAGCCUGGCAUCCUGGCCCAUCAGCCCUGAACAGGUGUGGGAUGCAGUUCUGCCUUGAAUUAACAAUAAAUGGAGAAGACCAUGGGCCGCCUGGAGAUGAAACCAGAAACCGCGUUAUUGGAGAUUGCAGACUACAUGCCCAAGAGGAAUAUCCAGCAACUCUUAACACAUUUCUAGCAGUCCGGUCUCAUAGUGGCGGCAGAUGUGUGAACCUCAUGAUGUGCCUGAUCUCCGGCAGCACCUGGUACUCCCGUGGAUAAAUGUGGUGCAUUAAAAGGUCAAGACGAUGGCAGCAGAUCCUCAGAAAAAGAUUUACAGCUAUCAAUCAAGCCUUAACGCCCUGGAUCAAAGACGGCAAAGUUGACCUCAUUAGCAAGGAACCAAGAUUUGAGAGACUGGAGCGUGGAGCGUAGAGCGUAGCCACAGAACUCUGAAAGAGAAUGAUGACCCCUGGGAAGAGAAUAUGGCUGCCCUUGUGCUGAUGCAGUGCUGAAUCAUG